UUGACACAAUAAGACAAAAAUAGAACAAGUUAGAAGAACUCAGAAGUAUACCUAAACAACCAUUUAUGGUACAAGUUAAAUUUUGUAUGCAGGAAAACAGAUAUUUUAAAUACGAAGCCAAGAUAUACAAGUUAACAGAGGCCAACGACACCAGCUCCAGAUGCUGAUAUAGCACUGGGCCGGAUGUGCUUACGAGUUAACAGGGAUCAGCAAAAUGCAGUAUAACACCAACCACAGAUGCUGACAUAGCGCAUGGAUGUUCUUGCACGACGACAGCGUACGAGGCGCAAGCUACGCAUUCUAGCGGCCGUUGUGAAACGGCUUAGAGGCAUAUAUGCCUGGCGGUUCGCGCAUAAAUUAACUCACUUGCUACGGCGUAUCGGCCUAGUGUUUUACCCAAAUAAUAAAAUAAUCAAAAUAAAGUCCUAUAACGAAAAUCCGCGAGGACUUCUUAUUUAAAUCUUAAUUGGCGCCCAACGUUUUUCGGACCAUUUUGUGUUGUAACUAUUUUGUGUGCCGUACAGUGUAAAGAACUAAUCUACCAGUACAAGACACUUCGCGCUGUGUAAUAGCAAUACCCAAACUACCAGUGGAAACAAUAAAAGUUGUGCCUGACCUACAUCAAUUUACGUCAGCGGUACAAGUCCAAUAAAAAUCCAUUUGAUACACCGAAACCGCUGGAGCUCUUGAGGCAGCGACUUGUCACCAAACCAGCGCGCAAGGGGGUUUGGGCAGCGAAGUAAACCAGCACCAAUAGACUUCAGCGAGGGAUCAUAAAAAAGCAUUCGUGACUGCAGCGUGGGAAGCCGAAGUUUUAGACGUAGAGCAUACAAUCCUUGUAGGAACAAAUAAAAUGUAAGUGGGCCAUUAUUUGGCACAAUCUUUUUUCAA